UACGAAGGGUGCAAGCGUUACUCGGAAUUACUGGGCGUAAAGCGUGCGUAGGUGGUGAGUUAAGUCUGUCGUGAAAGCCCCGGGCUCAACCUGGGAAUGGCGAUGGAUACUGGCUCGCUAGAGUGCGGUAGAGGAGAGUGGAAUUCCCGGUGUAGCAGUGAAAUGCGUAGAGAUCGGGAGGAACAGCAGUUGCGAAGGCGGCUCUCUGGACCAGCACUGACACUGAGGCACGAAAGCGUGGGGAGCAAACAGG
rnacentral:rRNA from 1 species